rnacentral:rRNA from 1 species
CGGGAGCGUGGCGGCGUGCUUACACAUGCAAGUCGAGCGGUAAGGCCCUUCGGGGUACACGAGCGGCGAACGGGUGAGUAACACGUGGGUGAUCUGCCUUGCACUCUGGGAUAAGCCUGGGAAACUGGGUCUAAUACCGGAUAUGAGCCUGAACUGCAUGGUUCGGGUUGGAAAGAUUUAUCGGUGCGAGAUGGGCCCGCGGCCUAUCAGCUUGUUGGUGAGGUAACGGCUCACCAAGGCGACGACGGGUAGCCGGCCUGAGAGGGCGACCGGCCACACUGGGACUGAGACACGGCCCAGACUCCUACGGGAGGCAGCAGUGGGGAAUAUUGCACAAUGGGCGAAAGCCUGAUGCAGCGACGCCGCGUGAGGGAUGACGGCCUUCGGGUUGUAAACCUCUUUCGACAGGGACGAAGCGCAAGUGACGGUACCUGUAGAARRARSMMCGGCUAACUACGUGCCMRSMRSCGCGGUAAUACGUAGGGUGGCGAGCGUKKYCCGGAAAUGACUGGGCGUAAAGAGCUUGUAGGCGGUCUGUCACGUCGGUCGUGAAAACUCACAGCUCAACUGUGGGCCUGCGGUCGAUACGGGCAGACUAGAGUACUUCAGGGGAGACUGGAAUUCCUGGUGUAGCGGUGAAAUGCGCAGAUAUCAGGAGGAACACCGGUGGCGAAGGCGGGUCUCUGGGAAGUAACUGACGCUGAGAAGCGAAAGCGUGGGUAGCGAACAGGAUUAGAUACCCUGGUAGUCCACGCCGUAAACGGUGGGUACUAGGUGUGGGUUUCCUUCCACGGGAUCCGUGCCGUAGCUAACGCAUUAAGUACCCCGCCUGGGGAGUACGGCCGCAAGGCUAAAACUCAAAGGAAUUKRMCGGGGGGCCCGCACAAGCGGCGGAGCAUGUGGAUUWAAUUUCGAUGCAACGCGARRRMCYUUACCUGGGUUUGACAUACACCGGAAAGCCGGUAGAGAUACGSCCCCCCCYKKKKGUYSGUGUACAGGUGKKGCAUGGCUGUCGUCAGCUCGUGUCGUGAGAUGUUGGGUUAAGUCCCGCAACGAGCGCAACCCUUAUCUUAUGUUGCCAGCGCGUAAUGGCGGGGACUCGUGAGAGACUGCCGGGGUCAACUCGGAGGAAGGUGGGGACGACGUCAAGUCAUCAUGCCCCUUAUGUCCAGGGCUUCACACAUGCUACAAUGGCCGGUACAGAGGGCUGCGAUACCGUGAGGUGGAGCGAAUCCCUUAAAGCCGGUCUCAGUUCGGAUCGGGGUCUGCAACUCGACCCCGUGAAGUUGGAGUCGCUAGUAAUCGCAGAUCAGCAACGCUGCGGUGAAUACGUUCCCGGGCCUUGUACACACCGCCCGUCACGUCAUGAAAGUCGGUAACACCCGAAGCCGGUGGCCUAACCCUUGUGGAGGGAGCCGUCGAAGGUGGAUUGCCAGA